rnacentral:rRNA from 1 species
GCAGUGGCUUAACCAUUGUUCGCUUUGGAAACUGUUAGACUUGAGUGCAGAAGGGGAGAGUGGAAUUCCAUGUGUAGCGGUGAAAUGCGUAGAUAUAUGGAGGAACACCGGUGGCGAAAGCGGCUCUCUGGUCUGUAACUGACGCUGAGGCUCGAAAGCGUGGGGAGCAAACAGGAUUAGAUACC